UCGAGUGGCGAACGGGUGAGUAACACGUGGGUGAUCUGCCCUGCACUUCGGGAUAAGCCUGGGAAACUGGGUCUAAUACCGGAUAGGACCACUUCUUGGAUGUUGUGGUGGAAAGUUUUUUCGGUGUGGGAUGAGCUCGCGGCCUAUCAGCUUGUUGGUGGGGUAAUGGCCUACCAAGGCGUCGACGGGUAGCCGGCCUGAGAGGGUGUACGGCCACAUUGGGACUGAGAUACGGCCCAGACUCCUACGGGAGGCAGCAGUGGGGAAUAUUGCACAAUGGGCGCAAGCCUGAUGCAGCGACGCCGCGUGGGGGAUGACGGCCUUCGGGUUGUAAACUCCUUUCGCUAGGGACGAAGCGUAUUUGACGGUACCUGGAGAAGAAGCACCGGCUAACUACGUGCCAGCAGCCGCGGUAAUACGUAGGGGGCGAGCGUUGUCCGGAAUUACUGG
rnacentral:rRNA from 2 species